AGAGUUUGAUCCUGGCUCAGAACGAACGCUGGCGGCAGGCUUAACACAUGCAAGUCGAACGCCCCGCAAGGGGAGUGGCGCACGGGUGAGUAAUACUUGGGAACGUGCCUUUCAGUCUGGGAUAACAGCGGGAAACUGCUGCUAAUACCGGAUAUUCUCUUCGGAGGAAAGAUUUAUCGCUGAAAGAUCGGCCCAAGCCAGAUUAUGGUAGUUGGUGGGGUAAAAGCCUACCAAGCCUACGAUCUGUAGCUGGUCUGAGAGGACGACCAGCCACACUGGAACUGAGACACGGUCCAGACUCCUACGGGAGGCAGCAGUGGGGAAUAUUGGACAAUGGGGGAAACCCUGAUCCAGCCAUGCCGCGUGAGUGAUGAAGGCCUUAGGGUUGUAAAGCUCUUUUGUCAGGGAAGAUGAUGACGGUACCUGAAGAAUAAGCACCGGCUAACUUCGUGCCAGCAGCCGCGGUAAUACGAAGGGUGCUAGCGUUGUUCGGAAUUACUGGGCGUAAAGCGCGCGUAGGCGGCUAUUCAAGUCAGGGGUGAAAUCCUUGGGCUCAACCCAAGAAUUGCCUUUGAAACUGUAUAGCUAGAGUGUCGGAGGGGAUAGCGGAAUUGCUAAUGUAGAGGUGAAAUUCGUAGAUAUUAGCAGGAACACCGGUGGCGAAGGCGGCUAUCUGGACGACAACUGCGCUGAGGCGCGAAAGCGUGGGGAUCAAACAGGAUUAGAUACCCUAGUAGUCC
rnacentral:rRNA from 1 species